AUCGAACGCUGGCGGCAGGCCUAACACAUGCAAGUCGAACGAGUGGCGGACGGGUGAGUAAUGUCUGGGCAACUGCCUGAUCGAGGGGGAUAACUACUGGAAACGGUAGCUACUACCGCAUACCAUCAGAUGUGCCCAGAUGGGAUUAGCUUGUGGGUGGGGUAACGGCUCACCAAGGCGACGAUCCCUAGCUGGUCUGCGAGGAUGACCAGCCACACGUGAACUGAGACACGGGCCAGACUCCUACGGGAGGCAGCAGUGGGGAAUAUUGGACAAUGGGCGCAAGCCUGAUGCAGCCAUGCCGCGUGUAUGAAGAAGGCCUUCGGGUUGUAAAGUACUGUCAGCGGGGAGGCGUUACCCACAGAAGAAGCACCGGCUAACUCCGUGCCAGCAGCCGCGGUAAUUC
rnacentral:rRNA from 1 species